ensembl:lncRNA
AGACACUUCGCGCUGCAAAAGCAAGCACGGAUGAAGCAGGUUCUGGAGGUUUUGUUUGUUUCUUUUCUUAGCUCAUAAUAACAUCCCUGGGCUACAGAAGUUGGAGACCAUGCUUCAAACCAGCCUUGGUGUUAUUAGAAACAGCUUUUCAAGCGCUACAAAGAUAACAUGUGUACAAUAACAAUAUCAACACGGGGCUAAAAGAAAUGCUUCUGGAAACAGCAAGGAGGAGAAAUUCUGACACAGAAGGAUGGGGGAAGGAGCGAAGUGCACAGGACGCUGCUCGUGGGGAAGCUUCAGCAGAUAAGGAUGCACAGACGGAUAUUGAUAUAUUUUUUUUUUCCUAUCUUGGCUAACUGGGAGCAAAAUGCACACACCAAAGAAAUUGCAAGAGAUUAAAGUCGACAGUAUUUUGUGAGGAUAUUAAUUUCAACAUUUCUUAUGUAAUCAUCUGAAAUAUUCACUGGGGCCGAGGAGGCUUUUGAGCUGCCAAACCUAGGCUCAGCCUUGUAAGCACUUACUUUGCAAACAGCUCUUGCCAAAUUAAUCCUGAGCUAAAAGAAAAAGUAGAUGAACUCCCACAUUUUUCUAGGAAUUCAUUUCUCAUAAAACACAUCUUUCCCUUAUCUGUGAGUAGUUGCUGCGUUUACAAUACCUUCAAAUCAACUGUUGGUUAAGCUGUCUCUGUUAGAGAAGCCAACAUCAUAUGCCUGUAUUAGCAAAGUCAGUCUAUAUCUGAAUUGUUCAAGCCUCGAGCAUUUUUGUCUCUCGGAGCCUCUGUUUUGGGGUAUGAGGAAAACAAACAAUUUCAACCUUUGAUUUGUAAACAUGCUUCAAACCGUCAGGAAUGAGGCUACUGUGAUUUUGUUUCUAAUUUCUAUUUGUACAUUGUUUACAUUUCUUAUGGAAAGUAUGGUUAAGGCAGAGUGGGUCUUACACAAAAGCCUGCUUUGGCAGGAAACUUCCAUUUCUUCUGCUGGCCAUUACUAUGCAACGUUACAUCUAUUGCUCUCUGAGCGUUUUGCCUUGUGUCCUUUCUCCUUUGCAUCAACUUUCAGCCUGUUUUCAAAAAAAAGAAAUGAAGCCCAUAUACGUGAGCACUUGUCUCUUUGUCCGUCUCACCCAAG